GCAUAUCAAUAAGCGGAGGAAAAGAAACCAACAGGGAUUGCCCCAGUAACGGCGAGUGAAGCGGCAACAGCUCAAAUUUGAAAUCUGGCCCCCAGGGCCCGAGUUGUAAUUUGCAGAGGAUGCUUUUGGCGCGGCGCCUUCCGAGUUCCCUGGAACGGGACGCCAUAGAGGGUGAGAGCCCCGUCUGGUCGGACGCCAAGCCAGUGUAAAGCUCCUUCGACGAGUCGAGUAGUUUGGGAAUGCUGCUCUAAAUGGGAGGUAUAUGUCUUCUAAAGCUAAAUAUAGGCCAGAGACCGAUAGCGCACAAGUAGAGUGAUCGAAAGAUGAAAAGCACUUUGAAAAGAGGGUUAAACAGUACGUGAAAUUGUUGAAAGGGAAGCAC
rnacentral:rRNA from 1 species